AUCCUGGCUCAGGAUGAACGCUAGCUACAGGCUUAACACAUGCAAGUCGCGGGGCAGCAUGUUGGUUGCUUGCACCAAUGAUGGCGACCGGCGCACGGGUGAGUAACGCGUAUCCAACCUUCCCCUUAGUAGGGCAUAGCCCGGCGAAAGUCGGAUUAAUACCCUAUGUUUUCCAAUGAGGACAUCUGAGUUGGAACAAAGAUUCGUCGCUAAGGGAUGGGGAUGCGUCCGAUUAGCUUGCCGGCGGGGUAACGGCCCACCGGGGCAACGAUCGGUAGGGGUUCUGAGAGGAAGGUCCCCCACACUGGUACUGAGACACGGACCAGACUCCUACGGGAGGCAGCAGUGAGGAAUAUUGGUCAAUGGGCGAGAGCCUGAACCAGCCAAGUAGCGUGCAGGAUGACGGCCCUACGGGUUGUAAACUGCUUUUAUGCGGGGAUAAAGUGACGUACGUGUACGUUUUUGCAGGUACCGCAUGAAUAAGGACCGGCUAAUUCCGUGCC
rnacentral:rRNA from 1 species